UACGGGGGGGGCAAGCGUUGUUCGGAAUUACUGGGCGUAAAGGGCUCGUAGGCGGCCAACUAAGUCGGACGUGAAAUCCCACGGCUCAACCGUGGAACUGCUCGGUAUACUGCUUUUCUUGAGCCACUUAGGGGCUGUCGGAACAAAUGGUGGAGCGGUGAAAUGCGUAGAUAUCAUUUGGAACGCCAAUGGUGAAAACAGCUUGCUGGGGGUUUGCUGACGCUGAGACACGAAAGCCAGGGGAGCGAACGGG
rnacentral:rRNA from 1 species